rnacentral:rRNA from 1 species
CGAGUCCGGCAAGCUACGGCUUGUCAGUGAUGGCGAUCAUACUUCCCAGAAAAGCCCGGACUAUCGUAAAUUCUAAAUACUUGUACCCGAAACCGACACAGGUGGGGAGGUUGAGAAAACUAAGGGGCGCGAGAUAACUCUCUCUAAGGAACUCGGCAAAAUGACCCCGUAACUUCGGGAGAAGGGGUGCCACCGCAAGGUGGUCGCAGUAAAGAGGCCCAGGCGACUGUUUACCAAAAACACAGGUCUCCGCCAAGUCGCAAGACGCAGUAUGGGGGCUGACGCCUGCCCAGUGCCGGAAGGUUAAGGAAGUUGGUCAGGAGUAAUCUAAAGCUGACGACUGAAGCCCCGGUGAACGGCGGCCGUAACUAUAACGGUCCUAAGGUAGCGAAAUUCCUUGUCGGGUAAGUUCCGACCCGCACGAAAGGCGUAACGAUCUGGGCACUGUCUCGGAGAGAGACUCGGCGAAAUAGGAUUGUCUGUGAAGAUACGGACUACCUGCACCUGGACAGAAAGACCCUAUGAAGCUUUACUGUAGCCUGGAAUUGGCUUCGGGCUUCGCUUGCGCAGGAUAGGUGGGAGGCGUUGACAUUCCCCUUGUGGGGGGAAUUGAGCCAACGGUGAGAUACCACUCUAGCGAGGCUAGAAGUCUAACUUUCGCCCAUUGUCUGGGGAAAGAACAGUUUCAGGUGGGCAGUUUGACUGGGGCGGUCGCCUCCUAAAUGGUAACGGAGGCGUACAAAGGUUUCCUCAGGCUGGUUGGAAAUCAGCCAUAGAGUGCAAAAGCAGAAGGAAGCUUGACUGCGAGACCUACAAGUCGAGCAGGGACGAAAGUCGGUUUUAGUGAUCCGACGGCGCCGCGUGGAAGGGCCGUCGCUCAACGGAUAAAAGUUACUCUAGGAUAACAGGCUGAUCUCCCCCAAGAGUCCACAUCGACGGGGAGGUUUGGCACCUCGAUGUCGGCUCAUCGCAACCUGGGGCGGAAGUACGUCCCAAGGGUUGGGCUGUUCGCCCAUUAAAGCGGUACGUGAGCUGGGUUCAGAACGUCGUGAGACAGUUCGGUCCAUAUCCGGUGCAGGCGCAAGAGCAUUGAGAGGAGCCUUCCUUAGUACGAGAGGACCGGGAAGGACGCACCACUGGUGUACCUGUUAUCGUGCCAACGGUAGACGCAGGGUAGCCAAGUGCGGAGUGGAUAACCGCUGAAAGCAUCUAAGUGGGAAGCCCACCUCAAGAUGAUUGCUCUCACAGGGUUAACCUGGUAAGGUCACGGGCAGAACACCCGUUAUUAGGCACUAGGUGGAAGUUCAGCAAUGAAUGUAGCCAAGGUGUACUAACAGACCGAGGGCUUGACC